UACAGAGGGGGCAAGCGUUAUUCGGAAUUAUUGGGCGUAAAGGGCGCGUAGGCGGCCUUGCAAGUGGCGGGUGAAAUCCCUCGGCUUAACCGAGGAACUGCCUGCCAGACUGCAAGGCUCGAGACCGGGAGAGGUGAGUGGAAUUCCCAGUGUAGAGGUGAAAUUCGUAGAUAUUCGGAAGAACACCAGUGGCGAAGGCGGCUCACUGGCCCGUUACCGACGCUCAGGCGCGACAGCGUGGGGAGCAAACAGG
rnacentral:rRNA from 1 species